CGGGUUCCAGGCAUCAAUUCUAUCUCGAACUCUAUCUCCCUAGCAGGUGGUAAACCUGGUAGCUCGUCUGGGAAAACGUCUAGAAACUCUCUGACCACUGGCACCGAGGCGGGCUCUCUAACCUGACUGCUAAGCUCUCUCACGUGAGCCAAAUACCCCUGACAUCCCUUCCUAAGCAACCUACGAGCCUGAAGAGCUGAUAUCAGACCUCUAGGUGUACCCCUCCU
rnacentral:lncRNA from 1 species